rnacentral:rRNA from 1 species
AUACAUGCUAGUCGAGCGGACAGAUGGGAGCUUGCUCCCUGAUGUUAGCGGCGGACGGGUGAGUAACACGUGGGUAACCUGCCUGUAAGACUGGGAUAACUCCGGGAAACCGGGGCUAAUACCGGAUGCUUGUUUGAACCGCAUGGUUCAAACAUAAAAGGUGGCUUCGGCUACCACUUACAGAUGGACCCGCGGCGCAUUAGCUAGUUGGUGAGGUAACGGCUCACCAAGGCGACGAUGCGUAGCCGACCUGAGAGGGUGAUCGGCCACACUGGGACUGAGACACGGCCCAGACUCCUACGGGAGGCAGCAGUAGGGAAUCUUCCGCAAUGGACGAAAGUCUGACGGAGCAACGCCGCGUGAGUGAUGAAGGUUUUCGGAUCGUAAAGCUCUGUUGUUAGGGAAGAACAAGUGCCGUUCAAAUAGGGCGGCACCUUGACGGUACCUAACCAGAAAGCCACGGCUAACUACGUGCCAGCAGCCGCGGUAAUACGUAGGUGGCAAGCGUUGUCCGGAAUUAUUGGGCGUAAAGGGCUCGCAGGCGGUUUCUUAAGUCUGAUGUGAAAGCCCCCGGCUCAACCGGGGAGGGUCAUUGGAAACUGGGGAACUUGAGUGCAGAAGAGGAGAGUGGAAUUCCACGUGUAGCGGUGAAAUGCGUAGAGAUGUGGAGGAACACCAGUGGCGAAGGCGACUCUCUGGUCUGUAACUGACGCUGAGGAGCGAAAGCGUGGGGAGCGAACAGGAUUAGAUACCCUGGUAGUCCACGCCGUAAACGAUGAGUGCUAAGUGUUAGGGGGUUUCCGCCCCUUAGUGCUGCAGCUAACGCAUUAAGCACUCCGCCUGGGGGAGUACGGUCGCAAGACUGAACUCAAGGGAU